UGGCGACCGGCGCACGGGUGAGUAACGCGUAUGCAACUUACCUAUCAGAGGGGGAUAGCCCGGCGAAAGUCGGAUUAAUACCCCAUGAAACAGGGGUCCCGCAUGGGAAUAUUUGUUAAAGAUUCAUCGCUGAUAGAUAGGCAUGCGUUCCAUUAGGCAGUUGGCGGGGUAACGGCCCACCAAACCGACGAUGGAUAGGGGUUCUGAGAGGAAGGUCCCCCACAUUGGUACUGAGACACGGACCAAACUCCUACGGGAGGCAGCAGUGAGGAAUAUUGGUCAAUGGCCGAGAGGCUGAACCAGCCAAGUCGCGUGAAGGAAGAAGGAUCUAUGGUUUGUAAACUUCUUUUAUAGGGGAAUAAAGUGGAGGACGUGUCCUUUUUUGUAUGUACCCUAUGAAUAAGCAUCGGCUAACUCCGUGCCAGCAGCCGCGGUAAUACGGAGGAUGCGAGCGUUAUCCGGAUUUAUUGGGUUUAAAGGGUGCGUAGGUGGUGAUUUAAGUCAGCGGUGAAAGUUUGUGGCUCAACCAUAAAAUUGCCGCUGAAACUGGGUUACUUGAGUGUGUUUGAGGUAGGCGGAAUGCGUGGUGUAGCGGUGAAAUGCAUAGAUAUCACGCAGAACUCCGAUUGCG
rnacentral:rRNA from 1 species